ACGGCCAUACCAUGCUGAAUAUACUGGUUCUCGUUAGAUCACCGAAGUCAAGCAUCAUUGGGCGCUGUCAAUACUUGGGUGGGUGGGUGACCACCUGGGAACACCGCAUGCCGUU